GAAGGUAUAGCUCAGUGGUAGAGCGCGUGCUUAGCAUGCACGAGGUACUGGGUUCAAUCCCCAGUACCUCCA
rnacentral:tRNA from 1 species